rnacentral:rRNA from 1 species
UGGCCGUUCUUAGUUCGUGGAGUGAUCUGUCUGCUUAAUUGCGUUUCAAAUAUAUUUUAUUAUAUAACGAGUCUACAAAGGAGUGGUUCAUUAACAGACAAUCAUAUCUUUGAGCGUCUGGAAUCUACUCUAUUUGGCUCAAUUGAACGCAACGGACGUGAUCGCGAGUCCUUGUUGAACUUCAGUAUAUAUUGACUAUCCCCGUAGGAAGGGAUUGGCAAUAAUUGAAUGUUCGCUUUCUAUUAGGUGUGUAUAUAUAGUCUCAAAAUUACAUGUAUUUGUAAUGGCGAGUAAUAUUUAUACUAUCCUGUAGGAAAACUCGGGCGACCGCUGUAAUAUUUCUCUUUAAAACAGAGGAAGAUUGCGGCAAUAACAGGUCUGUGAUGCCCUCAGAUGUCCCGGGCCGCA